UACGUAGGUGGCAAGCGUUGUCCGGAAUUAUUGGGCGUAAAGAGCGUGUAGGCGGCUUUACAGGUCCGCUGUGAAAACUCGAGGCUCAACCUCGAGCUGUCGGUGGAAACCGUAAGGCUAGAGUCCGGAAGAGGAGAGUGGAAUUCCCGGUGUAGCGGUGAAAUGCGCAGAUAUCGGGAAGAACACCCGUGGCGAAGGCGGCUCUCUGGGACGGUACUGACGCUGAGACGCGAAAGCGUGGGGAGCGAACAGG
rnacentral:rRNA from 1 species